GCCCUGCAGCCAUCUCCCAGCAACACCUCCUUUGCCACCUCAGAACUCCCACCCAGAACGCCUCUAAGAGCUCAGGCUCAAUCAUAACAACCCCAAAAGUGACCCCAGCACACCUCAGAUCCUGCAAGUGCAAAUGCUUGUAAAGGUGCCUGGGGUUGGAGGGUGAAAGGCUGGAAGAUGAAAAACAUCUUUGCUACCUUCCUUUCCCAAAGACUCCUGAGUUACAGGCAGGGAGCCCUGAGGGAAAGGGGUGCUGCUCUGGCUCCAUGUCCUCGGGAGUUCCCUGCACUGAGUCCUUGAAAGUGAUCCCUUCUUCUGGGGGAAAAGGCAUUAUGGUGAUUUAACCCGGUCUCAACUGAAUUCCCUGGUCCUGAGCAUGUGGCUGCCUCCAGAGAAGUUAGCUUCAUCCAAAAGCUGGCUCUGCUCCUUACGACCUUGCAUUGCCCGCCACAGCCGUCAACCAGCGUCCCCACUGCCCAUCUCCACCACACACUCCAAGCCUCUGUGCCCCUCCGGUUUCCUUUCCUACAGUCCCCAGCCAGGGAACCCAGAGUUCCCUC
ensembl:lncRNA